rnacentral:rRNA from 1 species
CUGGUGGCGUGCUUAACACAUGCAAGUCGAACGGUGAAGCCCAGCUUGCUGGGUGGAUCAGUGGCGAACGGGUGAGUAACACGUGAGCAACCUGCCCCCCACUUCGGGAUAAGCCUUGGAAACGGGGUCUAAUACCGGAUAUGAGCAUCUGCCGCAUGGUGGGUGUUGGAAAGUUUUUCGGUGGGGGAUGGGCUCGCGGCCUAUCAGCUUGUUGGUGGGGUAAUGGCCUACCAAGGCGUCGACGGGUAGCCGGCCUGAGAGGGCGACCGGCCACACUGGGACUGAGACACGGCCCAGACUCCUACGGGAGGCAGCAGUGGGGAAUAUUGCACAAUGGGCGAAAGCCUGAUGCAGCGACGCCACGUGAGGGAUGACGGCCUUCGGGUUGUAAACCUCUUUCAGCAGGGAAGAAGCGAGAGUGACGGUACCUGCAGAAGAAGCGCCGGCUAACUACGUGCCAGCAGCCGCGGUAAUACGUAGGGCGCAAGCGUUGUCCGGAAUUAUUGGGCGUAAAGAGCUCGUAGGCGGUCUGUCGCGUCUGGUGUGAAAUCCCAUGGCUCAACUGUGGGCUUGCAUCGGGUACGGGCAGACUAGAGUGCUGUAGGGGAGACUGGAAUUCCUGGUGUAGCGGUGGAAUGCGCAGAUAUCAGGAGGAACACCGAUGGCGAAGGCAGGUCUCUGGGCAGUUACUGACGCUGAGGAGCGAAAGCAUGGGGAGCGAACAGGAUUAGAUACCCUGGUAGUCCAUGCCGUAAACGUUGGGCACUAGGUGUGGGGCCAGUUCCACUGGUUCUGUGCCGCAGCUAACGCAUUAAGUGCCCCGCCUGGGGAGUACGGCCGCAAGGCUAAAACUCAAAGGAAUUGACGGGGGCCCGCACAAGCGGCGGAGCAUGCGGAUUAAUUCGAUGCAACGCGAAGAA